rnacentral:rRNA from 1 species
UACUGGGNGUAAAGCGUGCGUAGGCGGCUUUUUAAGUCGGAUGUGAAAUCCCUGAGCUUAACUUAGGAAUUGCAUUCGAUACUGGGAAGCUAGAGUAUGGGAGAGGAUGGUAGAAUUCCAGGUGUAGCGGUGAAAUGCGUAGAGAUCUGGAGGAAUACCGAUGGCGAAGGCAGSCAUCUGGCCUAAUACUGACGCUGAGGUACGAAAGCAUGGGGAGCAAACAGGAUUAGAUACCCUGGUAGUCCAUGCCGUAAACGAUGUCUACUAGMCGKUGGGGCCUUUGAGGCUUUAGUGGSGCAGCUAACGCGAUAAGUAGACCGCCUGGGGAGUACGGUCGCAAGACUAAAACUCAAAUGAAUUGACGGGGGCCCGCACAAGCGGUGGAGCAUGUGGYUUAAUUCGAUGCAACGCRAAGAACCUUACCUGGUCUYGACAUAGUAAGAACUUUCCAGAGAUGGAUUGGUGYCUUCGGGAACUUACAUACAGSUSCUGCAUGGCUSUCGUCAGYUCRUGUCGURAKAUGUUGGNUUAAGUCCCGCAACGAGCGCAASCCUU